CCUACGGGAGGCAGCAGUGAGGAAUAUUGGUCAAUGGCCGGGAGGCUGAACCAGCCAAGUCGCGUGAGGGAAGACGGCCCUAAGGGUUGUCAACCUCUUUUGUCAGGGAGCAAGGUGCAGGUCGGGACCUGCUGUGAGAGUACCUGAAGAAAAAGCAUCGGCUAACUCCGUGCCAGCAGCCGCUGUAAUACGGGGGCUGCGAGAGUUAUCCGGAUUGAUUGGGUGUAAAUGGUGCGCAGGCGGGGGUCCAAGUGAGCGGUAAAAUCGCGGGGCUCAACCCCGCUCCGCCGUUGAAACUGUGUCCCUUGAGUGCGCGAAGGGUAGGCGGAAUGCGUGGUGUAGCGGUGAAAUGCAUAGAUAUCACGCAGAACUCCGAUCGCGAAGGCAGCCUACCGGCGCGCAACUGACGCUCAUGCACGAAAGCGUGGGUAUCGAACAGGAUUAGAUACCCCUGUAGUC
rnacentral:rRNA from 1 species